UGCGGUCAAAUGAUGAUUAACACGCAUAGUUCAGCUGAUAAUCCCCGUGAUUAUAUAAACAGCACGUCUUUCGCUCCUAUCUGAUGACCUAU
rnacentral:snoRNA from 1 species